rnacentral:rRNA from 1 species
GAAUGCUGACAUAAGUAACGAUAAAGCGGGUGAAAAGCCCGCUCGCCGGAAGACCAAGGGUUCCUGUCCAACGUUAAUCGGGGCAGGGUGAGUCGACCCCUAAGGCGAGGCCGAAAGGCGUAGUCGAUGGGAAACGGGUUAAUAUUCCCGUACUUGGUGUUACUGCGAAGGGGGGACGGAGAAGGCUAUGUUGGCCGGGCGACGGUUGUCCCGGUUUAAGCGUGUAGGUGUGUGUUCCAGGUAAAUCCGGUUCACUUUAACACUGAGGCGUGAUGACGAGGCACUACGGUGCUGAAGCAACAAAUGCCCUGCUUCCAGGAAAAGCCUCUAAGCAUCAGGUAACAUCAAAUCGUACCCCAAACCGACACAGGUGGUCAGGUAGAGAAUACCAAGGCGCUUGAGAGAACUCGGGUGAAGGAACUAGGCAAAAUGGUGCCGUAACUUCGGGAGAAGGCACGCUGACACGUAGGUGAAGUGAUUUACUCAUGGAGCUGAAGUCAGUCGAAGAUACCAGCUGGCUGCAACUGUUUAUUAAAAACACAGCACUGUGCAAACACGAAAGUGGACGUAUACGGUGUGACGCCUGCCCGGUGCCGGAAGGUUAAUUGAUGGGGUCAGCGCAAGCGAAGCUCCUGAUCGAAGCCCCGGUAAACGGCGGCCGUAACUAUAACGGUCCUAAGGUAGCGAAAUUCCUUGUCGGGUAAGUUCCGACCUGCACGAAUGGCGUAAUGAUGGCCAGGCUGUCUCCACCCGAGACUCAGUGAAAUUGAACUCGCUGUGAAGAUGCAGUGUACCCGCGGCAAGACGGAAAGACCCCGUGAACCUUUACUAUAGCUUGACACUGAACAUUGAGCCUUGAUGUGUAGGAUAGGUGGGAGGCUUUGAAGUGUGGACGCCAGUCUGCAUGGAGCCGACCUUGAAAUACCACCCUUUAAUGUUUGAUGUUCUAACGUGGACCCGUGAUCCGGGUUGCGGACAGUGUCUGGUGGGUAGUUUGACUGGGGCGGUCUCCUCCUAAAGAGUAACGGAGGAGCACGAAGGUUGGCUAAUCCUGGUCGGACAUCAGGAGGUUAGUGCAAUGGCAUAAGCCAGCUUGACUGCGAGCGUGACGGCGCGAGCAGGUGCGAAAGCAGGUCAUAGUGAUCCGGUGGUUCUGAAUGGAAGGGCCAUCGCUCAACGGAUAAAAGGUACUCCGGGGAUAACAGGCUGAUACCGCCCAAGAGUUCAUAUCGACGGCGGUGUUUGGCACCUCGAUGUCGGCUCAUCACAUCCUGGGGCUGAAGUAGGUCCCAAGGGUAUGGCUGUUCGCCAUUUAAAGUGGUACGCGAGCUGGGUUUAGAACGUCGUGAGACAGUUCGGUCCCUAUCUGCCGUGGGCGCUGGAGAACUGAGGGGGGCUGCUCCUAGUACGAGAGGACCGGAGUGGACGCAUCACUGGUGUU